rnacentral:rRNA from 1 species
CCUACGGGUGGCAGCAGUGGGGAAUAUUGCACAAUGGGGGAAACCCUGAUGCAGCGACGCCGCGUGAGUGAAGAAGUAACUCGUUACGUAAAGCUCUAUCAGCAGGGAAGAAAAUGACGGUACCUGAGUAAGAAGCCGCGGCUAACUACGUGCACGCAGCCGCGGAAAUACGGGGGGGGCAAGAGUAAUCCGGAUUUACUGGGUGUAAAGGGAGAGUAGACGGUGCGCCAAGUGUGGAGGAAAAUGGAGCGGCUUAACUGAGGAACUGCUUUUGAAACUGGCGAACUCGUGUGCGGGAGGGGUAAGCGGAAUUCCUAGUGUAGCGGUGAAAUGCGUAGAUAUUAUGAGGAACGCCGGUGGCGAAGGCGGCUUACUGGACCGUAACUGACGUUGAGGCUCGAAAGCGUGGGGAGCAAACAGGAUUAGAUACCCCGGUAGUC